rnacentral:rRNA from 1 species
UACGUAGGGGGCAAGCGUUGUCCGGAUUUAUUGGGCGUAAAGAGCGUGUAGGCGGCUUUACAGGUCCGUUGUGAAAACUCGGGGCUUAACCCCGGGCCUGCAGUGGGUACGGGCAGACUAGAGUGCGGUAGGGGAGACUGGAAUUCCGUGGUGUAGCGGUGAAAUGCGCAGAUAUCAGGAGGAACACCGGUGGCGAAGGCGGGUCUCUGGGCCGUAACUGACGCUGUAGCGCGAAAGCGUGGGGAGCGAACGGG